UACGUAGGAGGCGAGCGUUGUCCGGAGUUACUGGGCGUAAAGGGUGCGCAGGCGGCGGUUCGCGUGGCGAGAUGAAAUCUCCUGGCUUACCUGGGAGGAUGGUCGCCAGACGGGAUCGCUUGAGGGUCGGAGAGGGGCGUGGAAUUCCGGGUGUAGCGGUGGAAUGCGUAGAGAUCCGGAAGAACACCGGUGGCGAAGGCGGUCUGCUGGGCAGUAGCUGACACUGAGGCGCGACAGCGUGGGGAGCAAACAGG
rnacentral:rRNA from 1 species